UCAGGACGAAAACAGGCGGCGUGCCUAAUACAUGCAAGUCGAGCGGACCGGGCCGAAGCUUGCUUCCGCUUGGUUAGCGGCGGACGGGUGAGUAACAAGUGGGUAACCUGCCCGUAAGACCGGGAUAACUCCGGGAAACCGGAGCUAAUACCGGAUAACACCGAAGACCGCAUGGUCUUUGGUUGAAAGGCGGCUUCGGCUGCCCCUUACGGAUGGGCCCGCGGCGCAUUAGCUAGUUGGUGAGGUAACGGCUCACCAAGGCGACGAUGCGUAGCCGGCCUGAGAGGGUGCCCGGCCACACUGGGACUGAGACACGGCCCAGACUCCUACGGGAGGCAGCAGUAGGGAAUCUUCCGCAAUGGACGAAAGUCUGACGGAGCGACGCCGCGUGAGCGAAGAAGGUCUUCGGAUCGUAAAGCU
rnacentral:rRNA from 1 species